rnacentral:lncRNA from 1 species
AGGCCUGACACCGACAAGACAUGUCAGGCAACCCUCAGGUGAUAGGCAGUUGUUAAACUGUCUCUUUAAAAUAAUAAUUGGUCACAGUCAAUGCCAGGGAAAGGCACUCUCCCGAGAGAUAAACACCUGAAGCUGGUGAUCAGCGACUUCCUGAUAUGAUCUCAGGAGUUGAGCGAGUGGUCUCACGCAUGCACACUAAGAGGCAAAAUGGCGGAGUUUUACUGGUAUAUGACCUGCCUCUAAGAAUACUCCACUGGUAAAGGAAAAACGCCUCAAGUGAGGAUGCAUAGAACUUCAGUAAACACACUGUGCACAUGGCCCCUCCAAAGUGCUGGCAGACCACUUAGCAUGUGGACAGCCCACGCCACGGAAGAAUCGGGGAAGAAGAGACACAGACACCAGAAGAAUGCCAACAUAUAAAAGCCCAAGUCAAAGGUCUAACUGCACACUCAAGUCACCCACUUGGUCCUCUUCCAAGUGUACUUUACCUCCUUUUGUUCCUGCUCUAAAACAUUUUAAUAAACUUUCACUCUUCUGAUACAUGCCUAUUAAACAUGCAUGUAACAUACAACCCAUGUUUACAUUGGGGUGGAGAUUUAACAUUUAAUUGUAUUACAAUUAGGUCCUAUAUGUCAAAAGGUCUUAUUUUCAG